rnacentral:rRNA from 1 species
GAUGAACGCUAGCUACAGGCUUAACACAUGCAAGUCGAGGGGAAACGACAUCGAAAGCUUGCUUUUGAUGGGCGUCGACCGGCGCACGGGUGAGUAACGCGUAUCCAACCUGCCCAUCACUUGGGAAUAACCUUGCGAAAGUAAGACUAAUACCCAAUGAUAUCCCACGAAGGCAUCGGAAUGGGAUUAAAGAUUUAUCGGUGAUGGAUGGGGAUGCGUCUGAUUAGCUUGUUGGCGGGGUAACGGCCCACCAAGGCAACGAUCAGUAGGGGUUCUGAGAGGAAGGUCCCCCAGAGUGGAACUGAGACACGGGCCAAACUCCUACGGGAGGCAGCAGUGAGGAAUAUUGGUCAAUGGGCGAGAGCCUGAACCAGCCAAGUAGCGUGCAGGAAGACGGCCCUAUGGGUUGUAAACUGCUUUUAUAAGGGAAUAAAGUGGGUCACGUGUGACUUUUUGCAUGUACCUUAUGAAUAAGGACCGGCUAAUUCCGUG